GGAGAGGUGGCUGAGUGGUUGAAAGCGCUCCCCUGCUAAGGGAGUAUGUGGUAAUCCCGCAUCGAGGGUUCGAAUCCCUCCCUCUCCGCCA
rnacentral:tRNA from 2 species